rnacentral:rRNA from 1 species
AUGGAGAAAAUCCCAGUGAUUCCUCGCGUCGGUCUCGGCACCCAGGGACUGGAGGUGUCUAAGCUGGGGUUGGGGUGCAUGGGGCUGACGGGCUCGUACAACUCCCCGCUCGACGACGACGCCGGCGCCGCCAUCAUCGCGCACGCCUUCCGCCGCGGCAUCACCUUCUUCGACACCUCCGACUUCUACGGGGCCCACGCCAACGAGAUACUCCUCGGCAAGGCGCUGAAGCAGCUGCCGAGGGAGCAGGUGCAGGUGGCCACCAAGUUCGGGAUCCAGCUGCAGGCCGGGGGCACCAGCUUGUGCGGCCAGCCGGAGUAUGUCGGUGAGCUCAAGAAGCUAGUGGAGGAGGGGAAGGUCAAGUACAUCGGGUUAUCAGAGGCGAGCCCCGACACUGUCAGGCGUGCUCACGCUGUGCACCCGAUCUCUGCAGUGCAGAUGGAGUGGUCUCUCUGGGCUCGUGACAUCGAGCCCGACAUUGUGCCGCUCUGCAGAGAACUGGGGAUUGGAAUUGUUCCUUACAGCCCGAUUGGCCGCGGGUUCUUCGGCGGAAGAGGAGUCACGGAACAAGUCUCUGAUGAAUCCAAUCUGGUACCGAGACAGUCAGUUGCAGUAGUCAACUAUUUUUCACAGAAAGGGCACCCACGGUUUUCAGCAGAAAAUCUGGAGAAGAACAAGCAUCUUUAUUUGAAGAUGGAAGAACUAGCUAGGAGGCACAAGUGCAGCCAUGCUCAGCUAGCUUUAGCUUGGGUUCUGCAUCAAGGGGGUGAUGUGGUUCCCAUACCAGGAACAACCAAGAUCAAGAAUCUGGACUCCAACAUUGACUCCUUAAAGAUAAAGCUCGCGGAAGAUGACCUGAAAGAAAUUAGCAAUCAGAUACGUGAAGAAGAUGUGGCCGGUGGAAGGAGUUAUACUUCCUUUGCACAUGCCAACUGGAACCAUGCAGACACACCAAAGAAUUGA